rnacentral:lncRNA from 1 species
UCGGGCAUUAUAUUCGAGCUUAGGCUCGGGCCCGGACCAGUCCUAGGUCGGGCCAAAGGUCAGUCCGAGCCCGACCUAAAAGAAAAAUGGGUCCCAUUUCUAGGCUCGAGCCCAACCUGAAUGAUUUUGGGCCAAGCCCGAAGCCCAACCCAAAGCCAGCCUGACCCAAACCCACUUCCAGCCUUAAGUAGCGGUGCUUAAGGCUGUGGAGAGAAGGGAAAGAGAGAGAGAGGAAAGAAGGCUAGUGCUUAUCUUGAGUUCCGAUGAGCUCUCCAACUCUGAUUUCUGAUGGGCACGAUGAAAGGACAUGGUGAACUUAAGAAGAGAAAGAAGGCUUCUCUGACUAUGAAUGGUGGCCGACGGUGAUGGGUUUCACAAGAGACUUGAGCCCUUUAAAUAGGCAGAAGAGAGGAGUCCAAGUCCUCUCAGAUUCAGAUCCUCCAUCGAUUUUGGGAGGAAAAAGGCUCCCUAAUGGGAGUCUUGUCCAUUAUUAUUUUUUUUGUUCUUUGGCUAAUGCUUUAAAACUCAUGCCACACCUCUUUGGGCUGCUUUCUAGUGGCAAGGCCAGUGAAGCCAACCCGGCUCAGUUCAGUAUUGGCCCAUUUAGGCCUGGGUAUUA